AGGACGAACGCUGGCGGCGUGCUUAACACAUGCAAGUCGAACGAGGCGCUUGCGCCUAGUGGCGAACGGGUGAGUAACACGUGAGCAACCUGCCCUUGGCUCUGGGAUAGCCUCCGGAAACGGGGAUUAAUACCGGACAUGACCUUCUCCUGCAUGGGGGAGGGUGGAAAGUUUUUCGGCCAGGGAGGGGCUCGCGGCCUAUCAGCUUGUUGGGGGGUAACGGCCCACCAAGGCGACGACGGGUAG
rnacentral:rRNA from 1 species